AUAAAAAACUUUUCAUUUAAUUUCUUUUGCGCAUCGCAUGUGUCACAAAGCUUCCUCCUUUCAUCAUGUAACUAUCUUUCUCGACAACCUUCUUCUCAAGAAGAAUAACAGAGUAUGUGUCUCGGCUCUGAUUAAAAAAGAGAAAUUUCAACGCUCUCUUCAUGAUUCAUCUAUCUUGUAUUCAUGUCUGCGAAUAAUUCUCAGCUGGGUUCUGCUUCAAAUUCCUGUUUCUUCAGUUUCUUUUUAGCUUGUUAACUUUUUUUCAGCUCUACUCUGUUUCGGCAACUGGGCAUUCCUGUUUUGGCUCUUUAACUCUUCAUGCUUUUCAACGCUAACCCAUUUCUACUAUCUUUGUUUCGACUUCUUUCCUAGCUUAGUCGUUGCAAGUUUCAAAUUCUUUUCGUGAUAACUUAAUCGGAAGCAAGUUAAUAUUACUGACCCAGAAAGAAGAAGAGGGCAUUCAAAUAGUUUUAGCAAUGAAUUCGUUUUACCCACUGAAGGAAGUUACUCCGGGAUCGACUUCAUCACAGCCGGGCGGAGAACCGCCAGGGACGCCUCCACCACAGCCGAAGGAGGGGCUUUAUGACAUAGGACCUCCGCCAUUUCUCACGAAGACCUUUGACAUGGUGGAUGACCCAACCACCAAUCACAUAGUUUCCUGGAGCAGGGGAGGCAGCAGCUUUGUUGUGUGGGAUCCUCAUUCAUUCUCUACACAUCUCCUCCCAAGACACUUCAAGCACAACAAUUUCUCAAGCUUUGUCAGGCAGCUCAAUACUUAUGGCUUUAGAAAGAUUGAUCCAGAUAGAUGGGAGUUUGCUAACGAAGGUUUUCUGAGGGGCCAGAAACAGCUUCUAAGGAACAUCAAGAGACGAAAGGCAACUUCUCAACCUUUCCCUCUUCAGCAAGCUCUGGGUCCCUGUGUGGAGGUCGGCCGUUUUGGAGUAGACGGAGAAAUCGACCGUCUGAAGCGUGACAAGCAGGUAUUAAUGAUGGAACUAGUGAAGCUUAGGCAGCAGCAACAGAAUACGAGAGCUUGCCUUCAAGUAAUGGAACAAAGGUUACAGGGAACAGAAAUGAAGCAACAGCAAAUGAUGUCCUUUUUAGCUAGAGCAUUACAAAACCCAAUCUUUAUCCAGCAAUUAGUCCAACAGAAGGAGAAGAGGAAGCAGCUAGAAGAAGCCAUGACCAAGAAAAGGAGGAGGCCAAUCGAUCAAGGACCUAGUUGUGAUUGUGGCAGCCAAUCAAGGCAGAGUGGUCGUGAAAGAUCAAAACCCAUUAAACUUGAGCCACUUGAAUUGGGGGAAUAUGGGUUUGAAGUAUCGGAGCUUGAAGCACUUGCAUUGGAAAUGCAAGGUCUUGGUAAGGCGAGAAAGGAGCAAAAGGAUGGGAAGGAGGAGCUAGAACCACUGGAUAGUGGGGAUAAAGACCUUGACGAGGGAUUUUGGGAAGAAUUAUUCAGUGAGGCUUUUGAGGAAGAAUCAGGCAUAGCGGAUGAUGAAGGAGGUGAGGAUGAAGAUGUUAAUGUCUUGACUGAUCGCUUAGGUCACUUAGGCUCAAGCCCAAAGUAGAACAGCUGGACUUCUUGUGCAUUGCGACUCCUUCCUCUUCCAUUCACGGCCUCGAUGAACAUUUUCUUGAUAGCUUGGUUAACCUCUCAUUUUGUGUAGUUUUGGUCUUUGCACAUGUCAACAUGCCAUAACAUUGAUCUGGAUUUAUUGCUAUUGGCAGGACAGGAGAAGAAGAACAAAAUUAAGCAGUUGUUCCAUGAAAUAAUUGGUGUUUCUAACCUUGUAUUUCAUUAAAAAAAAUUCCCUGAUGUACAUUCCUAAAACUUAUGAUUUUGUGUCUCAAUUAGGUUGCAGGCAGUGCUUGGACAGAGUGCUAGUUCUCCUAUAAUGUUUGUAUGAAGCGUAGAUGGUUCGGAGACUCUUGAAACUGGAAAAGAUGUAGCUGGAAGCUUCAAGAAUCACAACUAAAUGUUGCUUCUGAAUACAAAUCUUUUCGAGUCGUGGCAAUUUGGUUCUCCUCAGUCACUAUCAUUAGCUGUGGCCUCAGAAGUGGUAACUUGAAAGCGUUCUCUUUGUACAUUAUGAUUCUUUCUACAAUGCACUGCCCUGCCUCUCAUACAAAAACGCAGCAUAUUUGCCUGCAGUUGUAUGAAUAACGUAUUAGACUUUUUGCUGCAGAUAUCGUAGAUUCAGAUUCUUCACGAGAAAAUAUCCUGGUAACCUUAUCCAAAAAUAAAAAAAGAAGUUUGGUAUCAUAGUGAACUGAAGGAAAAAUCUCAUGGUUGUCCGAAUUUAAGGGCUUUAAUGGGAGUAAUAGAAAACACUAUGAAUGAGUCUUGUACAAUAUAAUAUUUCUUUUAUUAGAGAUACUGAGUCUUGUACCAUAUAUUAGUACUGUUUUUGUGAAUAUUUUGGGCAGUUCAUGACAUGCCAAAUUGGACAAGAACUAAUGAGAGAUCUGAAUCAAUCCAUUUCUGAAA